rnacentral:tRNA from 1 species
GCCUUUAUGGUGGAAUGGUAGACACGACAGACUCAAAAUCGUUUGCUCUUCAAGGGCGUGCCGGUUCAAGUCCGGCUAAAGGUA